rnacentral:lncRNA from 1 species
UCUAGAACAAUACUCUGGAGAGGAGCGCUGCAGCGUUACGUCUAGAACAAUACUCUGGAGAGGAGCGCGGCAGCGAUACGUCUAGAACAAUACUCUGGAGAGGAGCGCUGCAGCGUUACGUCUAGAACAAUACUCUGGAGAGGAGCACGGCAGCGUUACGUCUAGAACAAUACUCUCGAGAGGAGCGCGGCAGCGUUACGUCUAGAACAAUACUCUGGAGAGGAGUGGACAUUAUUAUCACAAAGCGGUAUCAACGCUCACCUAAAAAGCCAAUGUGCCACUGGUUGAAAGAAACUGUCACUGGUUUCGGGCAUUUGGAGGUGCGUCUUGGUCAGUUAAGCUCAGAAAAUGCCGCCGUGAAUACAAUGAAUGGUGAGCUUCUCUAAUGUACUGUAGCUAGCUAGCCCUAACCCUAAUGUACUGUAGCUAGCUAGCCCUAACCCUAAUGUACUGUAGCUAGCUAACCCUAAUGUACUGUAGCUAGCUAACCCUAACCCUAAUGUUCUGUAGCUAGCUAGCCCUAACCCUAAUGUACUGUAGCUAGCUAACCCUGACCCUAAUGUACUGUAGCUAGCUAGCCCUAAUGUACUGUAGCUAGCUAACCCUAAUGAACUGUAGCUAGCUAGCCCUAACCCUAAUGUACUGUAGCUAGCUAGCCCUAACCCUAAUGUACUGUAGCUAGCUAGCCCUAACCCUAAUGUACUGUAGCUAGCUAACCCUAAUGUACUGUAGCUAGCUAACCCUAACCCUAAUGUACUGUAGCUAGCUAACCCUGACCCUAAUGUACUGUAGCUAGCUAGCCUAACCCUAAUGUACUGUAGCUAGCUAGCCUAACCCUGACCCUAAUGUACUGUAGCUAGCUAGCCCUAAUGUACUGUAGCUAGCCUAACCCUGACCCUAAUGUACUGUAGCUAGCUAACCCUAAUGUACUGUAGCUAGCCUAACCCUAAUGUACUGUAGCUUGCUAGCCUAACCCUAAUGUACUGUAGCUAGCUAGCCCUAACCCUAAUGUACUGUAGCUAGCUAGCCUAACCCUAAUGUACUGUAGCUAGCUAGCCCUAACCCUAAUGUACUGUAGCUAGCUAGCCCUAACCCUAAUGUACUGUAGCUAGCUAGCCUAACCCUAAUGUACUGUAGCUAGCUAGCCUAACCCUAAUGUACUGUAGCUAGCUAGCUAACCCUAAUGUACUGUAGCUAGCUAGCCCUGACCCUAAUGUACUGUAGCUAGCUAGCCCUGACCCUAAUGUACUGUAGCUAGCUAGCCCUGACCCUAAUGUACUGUAGCUAGCUAGCCUAACCCUAAUGUACUGUAGCUAACUAGCCCUAAUGUACUGUAGCUAGCUAACCCUAAUGUACUGUAGCUAGCUAGCCCUGACCCUAAUGUACUGUAGCUAGCUAGCCCUAACCCUAAUGUACUGUAGCUAGCUAGCCUAACCCUAAUGUACUGUAGCUAGCUAGCCUAACCCUAAUGUACUGUAGCUAGCUAGCCUAACCCUAAUGUACUGUAGCUAGCUAGCUAACCCUAAUGUACUGUAGCUAGCUAGCCCUAAUGUACUGUAGCUAGCCUAACCCUAAUGUACUGUAGCUAGCUAGCCUAACCCUAAUGUACUGUAGCUAGCUAGCCUAACCCUAAUGUACUGUAGCUAGCUAGCCUAACCCUAAUGUACUGUAGCUAGCUAGCCUAACCCUAAUGUACUGUAGCUAGCUAGCCCUGACCCUAAUGUACUGUAGCUAGCUAGCCCUGACCCUAAUGUACUGUAGCUAGCUAGCCUAACCCUAAUGUACUGUAGCUAGCUAGCCCUGACCCUAAUGUACUGUAGCUAGCUAGCCUAACCCUAAUGUACUGUAGCUAGCUAGCCUAACCCU